rnacentral:rRNA from 1 species
UACAAAGCGCAAUUCCUUGGCACAAUCAAAUCCCCUAUGGAGCACACUGUGUGGAGGGCUUGGGCUCCCCCCAAAGUCAAGUUCUUCGCUUGGCUGGCUAUUCAAAACAGAAUUUGGACGGCAGACAGAUUGGAGAAGCGCGGAUGGCCAAACUGUGGCCUUUGUACACUUUGCAAGCAAAACCAAGAGUCUAUUGACCACCUUUUCUACAAAUGUCGCUUCUCUAUCCGCCUAUGGGGAUUAGUCAAGGACUGGCUGCAACUGGUGAGCAUUGAUACUUCCUCAUGGCACCUCUCAGGCAACAUCGAAGAGUGGUGGGUGGGCCUCUCCGACACAUCUAUCCCCAACAGGAAGGCGAUGGCCUCGCUCACCAUGCUAGUCGCC